rnacentral:rRNA from 1 species
GGCUCAGGAUGAACGCUAGCGGCAGGCUUAACACAUGCAAGUCGAGGGGCAGCAUGAGGGUUAGCAAUAACUCUUGAUGGCGACCGGCGCAAGGGUGCGUAACGCGUGAGAAACCUGCCUCUCAGUGGGGGACAACAGUUGGAAACGACUGCUAAUACCGCAUAACACUUUAGUACCGCAUGGUACAGAAGUCAAAGCUUUAUGUGCUGAGAGAUGGUCUCGCGUCUGAUUAGCUAGAUGGCGGGGUAACGGCCCACCAUGGCGACGAUCAGUAGCCGGUCUGAGAGGAUGAACGGCCACAUUGGGACUGAGAUACGGCCCAGACUCCUACGGGAGGCAGCAGUGGGGAAUAUUGCACAAUGGGGGAAACCCUGAUGCAGCAACGCCGCGUGAAGGAAGACGGUCUUCGGAUUGUAAACUUCUUUUCUCAAGGACGAUAAUGACGGUACUUGAGGAAUAAGCCACGGCUAACUACGUG